rnacentral:rRNA from 2 species
AGAGUUUGAUCAUGGCUCAGAUUGAACGCUGGCGGCAGGCCUAACACAUGCAAGUCGAGCGGUAGCACAGAGAGCUUGCUCUCGGGUGACGAGCGGCGGACGGGUGAGUAAUGUCUGGGAAACUGCCUGAUGGAGGGGGAUAACUACUGGAAACGGUAGCUAAUACCGCAUAAUGUCGCAAGACCAAAGUGGGGGACCUUCGGGCCUCAUGCCAUCAGAUGUGCCCAGAUGGGAUUAGCUAGUAGGUGGGGUAAUGGCUCACCUAGGCGACGAUCCCUAGCUGGUCUGAGAGGAUGACCAGCCACACUGGAACUGAGACACGGUCCAGACUCCUACGGGAGGCAGCAGUGGGGAAUAUUGCACAAUGGGCGCAAGCCUGAUGCAGCCAUGCCGCGUGUGUGAAGAAGGCCUUCGGGUUGUAAAGCACUUUCAGCGGGGAGGAAGGCGAUAAGGUUAAUAACCUUGGCGAUUGACGUUACCCGCAGAAGAAGCACCGGCUAACUCCGUGCCAGCAGCCGCGGUAAUACGGAGGGUGCAAGCGUUAAUCGGAAUUACUGGGCGUAAAGCGCACGCAGGCGGUCUGUCAAGUCGGAUGUGAAAUCCCCGGGCUCAACCUGGGAACUGCAUUCGAAACUGGCAGGCUAGAGUCUUGUAGAGGGGGGUAGAAUUCCAGGUGUAGCGGUGAAAUGCGUAGAGAUCUGGAGGAAUACCGGUGGCGAAGGCGGCCCCCUGGACAAAGACUGACGCUCAGGUGCGAAAGCGUGGGGAGCAAACAGGAUUAGAUACCCUGGUAGUCCACGCCGUAAACGAUGUCGAUUUGGAGGUUGUGCCCUUGAGGCGUGGCUUCCGGAGCUAACGCGUUAAAUCGACCGCCUGGGGAGUACGGCCGCAAGGUUAAAACUCAAAUGAAUUGACGGGGGCCCGCACAAGCGGUGGAGCAUGUGGUUUAAUUCGAUGCAACGCGAAGAACCUUACCUGGUCUUGACAUCCACAGAACUUUCCAGAGAUGGAUUGGUGCCUUCGGGAACUGUGAGACAGGUGCUGCAUGGCUGUCGUCAGCUCGUGUUGUGAAAUGUUGGGUUAAGUCCCGCAACGAGCGCAACCCUUAUCCUUUGUUGCCAGCGGUUAGGCCGGGAACUCAAAGGAGACUGCCAGUGAUAAACUGGAGGAAGGUGGGGAUGACGUCAAGUCAUCAUGGCCCUUACGACCAGGGCUACACACGUGCUACAAUGGCAUAUACAAAGAGAAGCGACCUCGCGAGAGCAAGCGGACCUCAUAAAGUAUGUCGUAGUCCGGAUUGGAGUCUGCAACUCGACUCCAUGAAGUCGGAAUCGCUAGUAAUCGUAGAUCAGAAUGCUACGGUGAAUACGUUCCCGGGCCUUGUACACACCGCCCGUCACACCAUGGGAGUGGGUUGCAAAAGAAGUAGGUAGCUUAACCUUCGGGAGGGCGCUUACCACUUUGUGAUUCAUGACUGGGGUGAAGUCGUAACAAGGUAACCGUAGGGGAACCUGCGGUUGGAUCACCU